GUUCCCGGUGAUGCUUCAAUAUAAACCAUGCUAAUGCUGACACUUUUGUGAUUGAACUCUUACCAUACUUGCUGAGGGAACU
rnacentral:snoRNA from 1 species